UACAGAGGUCCCGAGCGUUGUUCGGAUUCAUUGGGCGUAAAGGGUGCGUAGGCGGUCUGCUAAGUUUUGGUGUGAAAUCCCGGGGGCUCAACCCUGGAAUGGCAUUGAAUACUGGCGGACUAGAGUACCGGAGAGGAAACUGGAAUUUACGGGUGUAGCAGUGAAAUGCGUAGAGAUCGUAAGGAAGACCAGUGGCGAAGGCGAGUUUCUGGACGGUAACUGACGCUGAGGCACGAAGGCCAGGGGGAGCAAACGGG
rnacentral:rRNA from 1 species